UCGGACGUGGUGCACGGUGCACGCCUGCUCUUCUUGCGUAUUCUACGAGUAAGUGUGUGGGUAGCCUGGGUUCGACUCCCAGCGUCUGAA